rnacentral:rRNA from 1 species
UCUUGUAACCAAAGCUACUUUUAGGAAUCCUGAGUUCAAUAAAAAGAAAAAAUUGUAAACAGGGUCGGGCCUGGUUAGUACUUGGAUGGGAGACCACCUAGAUAUACCAGGUGUUGUAGAU